rnacentral:rRNA from 1 species
AGUGAACGCUGGCGGUAGGCCUAACACAUGCAAGUCGAACGGCAGCACAGUACUAGCUUGCUCUUACGGGUGGCGAGUGGCGGACGGGUGAGGAAUACAUCGGAAUCUACUUUUUCGUGGGGGAUAACGUAGGGAAACUUACGCUAAUACCGCAUACGACCUACGGGUGAAAGCAGGGGAUCUUCGGACCUUGUGCGAUUGAAUGAGCCGAUGUCGGAUUAGCUAGUUGGCGGGGUAAAGGCCCACCAAGGCGACGAUCCGUAGCUGGUCUGAGAGGAUGAUCAGCCACACUGGAACUGAGACACGGUCCAGACUCCUACGGGAGGCAGCAGUGGGGAAUAUUGGACAAUGGGCGCAAGCCUGAUCCAGCCAUACCGCGUGGGUGAAGAAGGCCUUCGGGUUGUAAAGCCCUUUUGUUGGGAAAGAAAAGCAGCAGGUUAAUACCUCGCUGUUCUGACGGUACCCAAAGAAUAAGCACCGGCUAACUUCGUG